CGCAACUGGUAACACACGCUUGUCGCUUGUAUGCCGACAAGGUUGUGUUUCACGAAACUGAAAAUGAAAUUUACUCUAGAAAUAGCUGAAGUAUGUAUAAGUUAAGAGUGCUCUAGUCCUGCGGGAAAGCAAAUCAGACAAAUUGUUCUCACCAUGGCUGGAAACACAGAUGACCCAUUUGAGCACUUGCUUAACAUGUACCGAAAUAUUUCGGAGAUGUGUGUUCUGCACUGCGUUUCGAAGCGAAGACCAGGGACUCCAAGACGUGGAGAGGUGCUGUGUGUUGAAUACUGUAUUGCAGAUGAAAUGCAGCAUUUGAGAAAGUCUGCAAUUAACAGAUUACCAAAAUACAAGAAGGUGUAAUUACCUGAAUCAUUUACAUGUGAAUAUGUAAUUCUUAAUAAAGAGUGAUGUUGAAAAUAUAAAUAUAAUAAUAGUAAUAAUAAAACAUAUGUAUUAGUAAAUAUUAAUUAAGAUGUGAGCAAUGUUCCAGUGUUUACUGCAUCAUAUGAGCCAAAACUGUCAUAUCAUGGUGGAAUUAUAGUAAAAAUCUCUUUAAAUUGAGGGCAAAUGUGAAAAGACACAGUUUAGGUUUGUAUGUUUCAAAACUACAGAAAUAUAAAGCCUCUUAGAAAAUAUAGAAAUUACUAUUAAGGUAUUCAUCCAUUCAUUCUAAGGAGAUCAGCACGAAUUUCUGAAUGAAAUAAGAAUAACUAAAAACUAUAACUUCUGUAGCUUAUUAUUAUUAUUAUUAUUAUUAUUAUUAUUAUUCCUGUUAAUAUUUGUAUCUUUGAACAGUAAUUACCUGGAUUUAAUCAUAGGCUGCUGGUAAAUUUUUUGCCAAUAUAGCUUAUCUAAUAUCUUUAUGUUUAUUUGAACAAGUGAAAUGUUUAUAAAAGGAAGUAAUAAAGCAAAA